rnacentral:rRNA from 1 species
GACGAACGCUGGCGGCGUGCUUAACACAUGCAAGUCGAACGGGAGAUAUAUGGAAUGAUCUGCUUGCGGAGAGUGAAAUAUAUCUUUAGUGGCGAACGGGUGAGUAACGCGUGAGGAUCUAUCCUUAGGUGGGGGACAACAGUUGGAAACGGCUGCUAAUACCCCAUAAGCCGGAAGGUGAAAGGAGCAAUUCGCCGAAGGAGGAACUCGCGUCCUAUCAGGUAGUUGGUGGGGUAAGGGCCUACCAAGCCGAAGACGGGUAGCCGGCCUGAGAGGGCGAACGGCCACACUGGAACUGAGAUACGGUCCAGACUCCUACGGGAGGCAGCAGUGGGGAAUAUUGGGCAAUGGGGGGAACCCUGACCCAGCGACGCCGCGUGGGUGAAGAAAUCCUUCGGGAUGUAAAGCCCUGUUGUAUGGGAAGAGUAGAAGACGGUACCAUACGAGGAAGCCCCGGCAAACUACGUGCCAGCAGCCGCGGUAAU